rnacentral:rRNA from 1 species
UACGGAGGGGGCUAGCGUUGUUCGGAAUUACUGGGCGUAAAGCGCGCGUAGGCGGCUUAGCAAGUUAGAGGUGAAAGCCCGAAGCUCAACUUCGGAAUUGCCUUUAAAACUGCAAAGCUAGAAUCAUGGAGAGGUGAGUGGAAUUCCGAGUGUAGAGGUGAAAUUCGUAGAUAUGGGGAGGAACACCGGUGGCGAAGGCGGCCACCUGGACGGUCACUGACGCUGAGGCGCGAGAGCGUGGGGAGCAAACCGG